rnacentral:lncRNA from 1 species
GAAAGGGGGGUGAAGAGAGAAGCUUGGGAGCAUGGCUCUAUGGGGGGGUCCCCUCCUUGGAGAUUUAUUGUCAUUGUGGUAAGGAAUGAGGAAUCUGGAAUCAGAAGGACACUUUGACUAACAGAGAUCGUUACAGACAUGAGACCUAGCAGGGGCUGUGUAGAGAAGUGGGUGGAGCCGGGCUCUGAGGUAGUUAAAGAUUCAGAGCUGGGGUUGCUGAAAGAGUUCAGCAAAGCAGAACGAGGAAGAGCAGGAGGGUGAAGGAAAGGAGAACGUUCUGGAAGCCAAGUGAUAAUGCUGUUUGACAAAGAGGAAGUGGCUCACUAAGUCACAUGUCAGCAUAGGCUGAUGACCAGCAGCUGACAGACAGAGGCAGCUGAGAGAGCCAGCUUUGUGGCCCAAGGCUGGCAUUGGAGUGGACCCUGAAUGAUGGCUCUUCUCUCCGACGCUCCAGCGAUCCUGAGAGUGAAGAAGUGGAGCAUGCUCGGAACUUGGUGGACUUGUGGAAGUCUGAGGAAACUCAGAUUCUUGGCCUCUCCAGUGUGAGGCAGCCAUGGCUGAACUACCUGGACCACACCCUAAGCCAAUCUAAUAAAUCCUCCUUUAAUAU